GAUGAACGCUGGCGGCAUGCCUAACACAUGCAAGUCGAGCGGACAAACGGGGAUUUUUCUCCGCUGCCAUUAGCGGCGGGCGGGUGAGUCACACGUGUAUAACUUACCUAGAAGAAUGGCAUACCUACGGGAAAGCGGAUCUAACACCCGAUAAUAUGUUGAACCUGGUGGUUCAUUAGAGCACACGGGAUUUGCUGACCCUUAUAGAUGGUUCCGAGCCGGAUUAGGUAGUUGGUACGGUAACGGCUUACCAAGGCUACGAUGCGUAGCAGACCUGAGAGGGUGAUCGGCCACACUGGAACUGAGACACGGUCCAGACUCCUACGGGAGGCAGCAGUAGGGAAUCUUCCGCAAUGGGCGAAAGCCUGACGGAGCAACGCCGCGUGAGUGAUGAAGGUCUUCGGAUCGUAAAACUCUGUUAUUAGGGAAGAACAAAUGUGUAAGUAACUAUGCACGUCUUGACGGUACCUAAUCAGAAAGCCACGGCUAACUACGUG
rnacentral:rRNA from 1 species